GUCGUCGUUGUCUGUUCUGUGUCUCCUAGCAACGCAAUUCCCAUCCCAAUAGAAAGACGGGGAUACUGCCGUCGUAGUCGACGUUGUCAUAGUCAUAGUCGUAUUUCUUGAGAUAUUAAACUCAAGAAGCAAAUAGAAAUUGCGAAAUAGAAAGAUGAUAAUUUCUGUUACAGUGAAUUCUUAAAAUAUUUCAUUUUUCGCGACUAGUACAAACAUCAUAAAAUAAGCUGACGUGGAAGCCAUCAACGUCCAAUUAAUUGUUGGCACAUUUGUGCGCUCCUCUCAACACGACUCGUAAUUACCAAGUCAAUUUACUGGGACAUUUAAUUUACGACGUUACGAGCCACCUGACACAUAAUAGUGGCAAAAAGCACCAACACCAGUACCAGCACCAAAGACUAUCUCCUAUAUGGCAAUAAGUAACAGUGAAGUAUGGAGGAUUUCUGGUUGUCAACCGAAUGUAUUAUCGUUCUCGCUCACAUAUACACACUAUCUUCGAGAUAUUGUACUCAAUGCCAGGGAAAUCGUAAAUAUAUCUUUGGAAAAAAUAUAAAAAAAUUUAAUUCAAAUGUAAAAUCAUAUGUGAAUAUUAGUUGCAUUUUAUAUGAAGGAAGUGAAUGAAUAAAUAAA